CCAAUGGAGAUGACGAGCAAGCGCUA
rnacentral:piRNA from 1 species